rnacentral:rRNA from 1 species
CAGUAGCCACGGGAACACGUAGGGUGCAAGCGUUAAUCGGAAUUACUGGGCGUAAAGCGUGCGCAGGCGGUUAUAUAAGUCAGAUGUGAAGUCCCCGGGCUCAACCUGGGAACUGCAUUUGAGACUGUAUGGCUAGAGUGUGUCAGAGGGGGGUAGAAUUCCACGUGUAGCAGUGAAAUGCGUAGAUAUGUGGAGGAAUACCGAUGGCGAAGGCAGCCCCCUGGGAUAACACUGACGCUCAUGCACGAAAGCGUGGGGAGCAAACAGGAUUAGAUACCCCUGUAGUCCCUGUCUCUUAUAC